rnacentral:rRNA from 1 species
UACGGAGGGUGCAAGCGUUGCUCGGAAUUAUUGGGGCGUAAAGGGCAGGUAGGUGGUCUCAUUUGUCUGGGGUGAAAUCCUUGGGCUUAACUCAAGAAGUGCCCCAGAAACGGUGAGACUAGAGUACUGGAGAGGGUCGUGGAAUUCCCGGUGUAGCGGUGAAAUGCGUAGAUAUCAGGAGGAACACCGGUGGUGUAGACGGCUCACUGGACCGUAACUGACGCUGAGACACGAAAGCAUGGGGAGCAAACAGGA